UGCUUGUUAUCACUACUCAUCACUAAUUGUAAUUACAUCAGAGUAUGUGUAUAGCUUUUAUCCAUCCCCUCUUUAUUAUGGAGUCCUGUUUUUAUAAGCUGCUACUACUAUGGAUAAGAUCUGAUACAUUUUUAGAUGGUGAAGUUGUACUUAAAAUUGGACAGAGCUUUUCACAUUCUAAUCUUGUGGUAACAGCUAACAGGAUGGACCAUGUAGCUCAUUAUUUUAAGUGGAAAAUCCAACAGUCUAUCCGAAUGCUGCCGCAUUUCUUGCCAGAUUGGCAACCAAAUCCAAGGAUAGAUAUUUGGCACUUUUUUUGGCCGUACCCAUAAUUAGGGAUGCAUAGGCAGGAAAUACAAAAACAUUUAGUUAUUAUUAUUAGAAUUUAAAUUUAGGAUUUUUUCGUUAUAGUUUAUUAUUAUUAUUAUUAAUUAUUUCUGUAUUUCUUUGCCACAACAAUGUAUUAAAAUAAUUACAAUA